CAGUAGCCGCGGGAAUACGGAGGGUGCAAGCGUUAAUCGGAAUUACUGGGCGUAAAGCGUGCGUAGGCGGUUCGUUAAGUCUGUUGUGAAAGCCCCGGGCUCAACCUGGGAAUGGCAAUGGAUACUGGCGAGCUAGAGUGUGUCAGAGGAUGGUGGAAUUCCCGGUGUAGCGGUGAAAUGCGUAGAGAUCGGGAGGAACAUCAGUGGCGAAGGCGACCAUCUGGGACAACACUGACGCUGAGGCACGAAAGCGUGGGGAGCAAACAGGAUUAGAUACCCCCGUAGUCCCUGUCUCUUAUAC
rnacentral:rRNA from 1 species